rnacentral:rRNA from 1 species
ACGAACGCUGGCGGCGUGCUUAACACAUGCAAGUCGCACGGAAAGGCCCUGCUUUUGUGGGGUACUCGAGUGGCGAACGGGUGAGUAACACGUGAGUAACCUGCCCUUGACUUUGGGAUAACUUCAGGAAACUGGGGCUAAUACCGGAUAGGAGCUCCUGCUGCAUGGUGGGGGUUGGAAAGUUUCGGCGGUUGGGGAUGGACUCGCGGCUUAUCAGCUUGUUGGUGGGGUAGUGGCUUACCAAGGCUUUGACGGGUAGCCGGCCUGAGAGGGUGACCGGCCACAUUGGGACUGAGAUACGGCCCAGACUCCUACGGGAGGCAGCAGUGGGGAAUAUUGCACAAUGGGCGGAAGCCUGAUGCAGCAACGCCGCGUGCGGGAUGACGGCCUUCGGGUUGUAAACCGCUUUCGCCUGUGACGAAGCGUGAGUGACGGUAAUGGGUAAAGAAGCACCGGCUAACUACGUG